AUGGAGAACCAACGGAGCGCCGUCGGCUGGCGAAUCCACCCUCCUCCGCCUCCCCAUCUCCCCCCUCCAGCCCCUCCAUCCACACAAGGGUUUGAAGACCAGAAAUUUGGGGAAAGUCAAGAAAUCUCCCAAGAAGGUACCUCUAAGAAUUGUGCUAGAGCCAGGUGGAAUCAUCAGAUGAAGGCAUAUCUCAUUGAACUCUUAAAAGAUCAUGAUGUUCCCAAAUAUCGGAUGCAAAAUGCAUGCAGUAAAGAGGCUUGGACAAACAUUGUUGAUAAAUUCAAUCAAAGAUUUAAUGUAUCCUUCACAGUAGUUCAAGUGAAGCAAAAGGAGCAGGAUCUAAAGAGAGAUUUCAAAGUUGUAAAAGGCUUAGUAUCUGAAAGUGGUUUUGGUUGGGAUCGUGACCGAAAGAUGGUGGUGGCUCCAGAUAAUGUUUGGGCUACACUAGAGGCACGUAAAAACAAGGACGCCCUCAUAUGGCGAGAAAAAUCAUUUCCAUACUACGAAGAUCUCUUCGCUCUAUAUGAUGGACGGUAUGCUGAAGGAAGGAGUUGCCGUGGCAUGGAUUAUUAUGUGAGCAAAGCAACACAACUCUCACGGGUUCCAACAUCACAGUCACCACAAUUGCAAGGGCUGGAGAUGCAUUUACACGCACCUACACCAACCAUACAUGCUCCUGGUGAUUCAUCCAUGCGGUUUGACAUUGAAGAAGAUAUUGAUAACAUAGAUUGGUUUUCCAGCAAUAAUACAUUCAGUCAAGUCGAGGCAAACUCGACUCAAGGAAAUGACUCAGCAUUACAUGCUCCAUCACAAGUUGAAACAAUGUUAACUCCCUCACUACAUGUUGGACAGACCUUGCAUGAAUUUCCACAAGUUGUACAUCGCAAUCCUAGGCCAUCUAGCUCUGCCCCUGAGGCUACUAGCACCAAGAGAGCAAAAAGGCAAAAGACCACAAGUAUUGGUGAUUUUCAUGAGAGAUACCUGCAACUCAAAAGAGAAGAAAUAGAUCGGUAUACAACCAUUCAGGAGAGGAAAUUAAGGGACCCCUUCAGCAUCAAGAAAUGCAUCAAUGAACUUGAAAGGUUGGACGGUCUUCUGAUGGCAGUAACAAAUGGUUCGACAAGAUAUUUGGAUCUCCCAGAAGCAGGAAGAUCUGAUAAAUUAUACAUGAUGGAAAAUACAAACUUCAUCGAUGGUAUUGAGCUUGGGACUAUUCAUCUUGAAGAAGCUAGAGGAUGGUCAGGCAGGACAAUCCAAGCCCUCAAGUCAAUUGAAGACGUUACACAAGACAAAUGGGCAGCAAAGAAAAAGGCAAAAGGAGAAAGGCCCGAAGAACUAUACUGCUACAAUGGAGUCCCAUUCAAAGCAGAGUUAGAGAGUGAUCUAGAACUUUUAGAAGAUCUCAUGCUCCUUCACAGAUAA
rnacentral:rRNA from 1 species